rnacentral:rRNA from 1 species
UUGGAGGGCAAGUCUGGUGCCAGCAGCCGCGGUAAUUCCAGCUCCAAUAGCGUAUAUUAAAGUUGUUGCAGUUAAAAAGCUCGUAGUUGAAUUUCGGGAUCAAUCUGUUGGUCGUGCCUUUGGUACGUACUAGCUUAUUGAUUUCUCCCUUCUGACGAACCAUGAUGUCAUUAAUUUGGUGUCAUGGGAAAUCAGGACUGUUACUUUGAAAAAAUUAGAGUGUUUAAAGCAGGCUCACGCUUGAAUACAUUAGCAUGGAAUAAUGAAAUAGGACGUUUUGAUUCUAUUUUGUUGGUUUCUAGGAUCGACGUAAUGAUUAAUAGGGAUAGUUGGGGGCAUUAGUAUUCAAUUGUCAGAGGUGAAAUUCUUGGAUUUAUUGAAGACUAACUACUGCGAAAGCAUUUGCCAAGGAUGUUUUCAUUAAUCAAGAACGAAAGUUAGGGGAUCGAAGACGAUCAGAUACCGUCGUAGUCUUAACCAUAAACUAUGCCGACUAGGGAUCGGAUGAUGUAAUUUUUAAUGACUCAUUC